UACGUAGGGUGCAGGCGUUAAUCGGAAUUACUGGGCGUAAAGCGUGCGCAGGCGGUUUGCUAAGACAGGUGUGAAAUCCCCGGGCUUAACCUGGGAACUGCGCUUGUUACUGGCAGGCUUGAGUGUGGCAGAGGGGGGUGGAAUUCCACGUGUAGCAGUGAAAUGCGUAGAGAUGUGGAGGAACACCGAUGGCGAAGGCAGCCCCUGGGUCAAGAUUGACGCUCAUGCACGAAAGCGUGGGGAGCAAACAGG
rnacentral:rRNA from 1 species